UACGUAGGGUGCAAGCGUUUAAUCGGAAUUACUGGGCGUAAAGCGUGCGCAGGCGGUUUUGUAAGUCUGUCGUGAAAUCCCCGGGCUCAACCUGGGAAUUGCGAUGGAGACUGCAAGGCUAGAAUCUGGCAGAGGGGGGUAGAAUUCCACGUGUGAGCAGUGAAAUGCGUAGAGAUGUGGAGGAACACCGAUGGCGAAGGCAGCCCCCUGGGUCAAGAUUGACGCUCAUGCACGAAAGCGUGGGGAGCAAACGAG
rnacentral:rRNA from 1 species